GGGGACGUAACUCAAUGGUAGAGCAUUUGCUUGGCAUGCAUGAGAUCCUGUGUUCAACCUUCAGCACCCCUA
rnacentral:tRNA from 1 species